rnacentral:misc_RNA from 1 species
GGAACAACAGGAGGCCGUUUGAUAAUGAAGAGCCAGGAGAAUAUGCCAAUAGGUGUGCAGUUCAGUGGCACAGAGUCUCGGUCUAUCCAGAGAGAUUGGGGGAAAUGGCCGUGAAGAAUAUCGUUCCAGGUUCAAUUUUGUAUGUGGAGGGUAACCUUGAAACAAAAAUCUUCACUGAUCCUAUCACCGGUCUUGUACGGCGCAUACGAGAGAUUGCUAUACGAAAAAAUGGUCGUCUGGUUUUCCUUGGGAAUGGAGGGAAUGAAGGCCCACGGCAAUCACAAGCAGAAAUAAAAGGGGUUGGUUAUUACUAAAAGUGGGCAGGCAGGCUUGCAGUGACAGCAACUGAAUCUUAACGUCCAUAUAUUUUUGUCGAGUUGACUUUAUCAUUUUCCUCAUUAAUCCUAGGAGGAGUGGUUGUAUUCUGAUAAUUUGUCAC